rnacentral:tRNA from 1 species
GGGGAUUUAGCUCAGUGGCAAAAGUGCCUGCUUUGUAAGCACACAGCGGUAAAUCCAAUCCCCA